UACGAAGGGGGCUAGCGUUGCUCGGAAUCACUGGGCGUAAAGCGCACGUAGGCGGAUUGUUAAGUCAGGGGUGAAAUGCCAAGGCUCAACCUUGGAACUGCCUUUGAUACUGGAGACCUUGAGUCCGGGAGAGGUGAGUGGAAUUGCGAGUGUAGAGGUGAAAUUCGUAGAUAUUCGCAAGAACACCAGUGGCGAAGGCGGCUCACUGGCCCGAUACUGACGCUGAGGCACGAAAGCGUGGGGAGCAAACAGG
rnacentral:rRNA from 1 species